GGGCGCUUCGCAUAGCGGCAAUUGCAUCUGGCUGUAGACCAGACGUCUUUAUGACUACGGGGGUUCGAGUCCCUCAGCGCCCA
rnacentral:tRNA from 1 species